rnacentral:rRNA from 1 species
CGACCGGCGCACGGGUGCGUAACGCGUAUGCAACCUACCUUUAACAGGGGGAGUAACACUGAGAAAUUGGUACUAAUACCCCAUAAUAUCAUAGAAGGCAUCUUUUAUGGUUGAAAAUUCCGAUGGUUAGAGAUGGGCAUGCGUUGUAUUAGCUAGUUGGUGGGGUAACGGCUCACCAAGGCGACGAUACAUAGGGGGACUGAGAGGUUAACCCCCCACACUGGUACUGAGACACGGACCAG